rnacentral:lncRNA from 1 species
GAUUAGCAUAAUAGUAUAGAAACAAGGAAACUUUUCGGAGCUGUCAAUCAGAGGCCAAUCAGCUGACUGUCAGCUGGGACUAGGAUUUUUAACCCUUCCCUUGACACAUCCUUCCGGAGAAUGGAAGGGAGUAGUUUUAAUUAAAGGGAGAGAAUUGAUAAAAAGAGGGGUUGGACCUGGGGGAGCCCAAGGCACACUACUUUCCCUUGGCUUUAGAAUUCCAAAGAUUUCCACGAUUCAGGGACAGGGGACUUUCCUGACUUUCACUGGCCAUUUCUUUUUCGGAUCUUUUCCUCUUGCUUUGUAGGAGCCUUGGGUCUGCUAUCCACUCAGCCCGAGUGCUCUCUGUGCAGGCCAGUUGCCUCAGGGCAUCCUCCUCCUGUGCAUCUCGUCCGUCCUCCCAAACCUCGGUACCCGGAGCCCAAACUCUCUUCUGUGCCGACUUUGGAGUAGCCUCUGCAGUCUCAGGUCCCUCUGACUGCAGUAGAUCAGGGCAGUUUGCUCACUACCCAACUACCCAGCUUUCCUAGCUUGCCGCUCUCCAUCCUGUUUCUUAAUCUUUCCUCCUUGUCUGCCUCUGCCUUUUUUUCCCUACCUGUAUUGUCCCCUGCCUUUUUAGCCUGCCUACCUGAUUUAGGCUUGGGAACCCAGGCCUGGGCGCGGAAUGGGAGUCUAUAGGUUGGAUAGGAAUAGGUUCAGGAAGCCAGCAAAUGGAAUUUUGUACUGGGACCAUAAUCUGCCAGCAGCAUUUGCAGCACCUUGGGGAGGAUCAAGGAGUUCCGAGGUGUCAAUCCCCUUGGUUACAUUUUAUUUUUCUCUUUUAAAAACAUUUCUGAGGAAUCCGGGGCCCAAAGGUUGUACUAGUUGGACUGUUGAUGCCCCGUGUGUGUGUGUGUGUGUGUGUGUGUGUGUGUGUGUGUGUGAGAGAGAGAGAGAGAGAGAGAGAGAGAGAGAGAGAGAGAGAGAGAGAGAGAGAGCAAGAGCGAGUGAGCUCAAGAACAGCUCCAGAGUUGCAGUAGCUGAACUCGGAAUGAGCUCCCUUCUAGACUUUGACUGUAGUGUGAGCUUUUACCACCUCCACCCUUUUUCUUUUUUCUUUUCUCCACUUUUUCUUCCUCCCCAUUUCUUUUUCUCUCUGUCUCUGUCUGGCUCGGUACCUUUCUCUCACACACACCCAGGACGAGAAAAAGGAGCGAGUGAAAACCAUUGUUGGAUGCAUUUGGUUUUAACCUCGACAGCGCCACCUUUCGGCAAAGCUGUUCCCGGUUGCAAGUUGAAGCCUCUUUCCCUUUGAAGACACAUCCUUUAUAAUUUUUAUUAGAGGUCAGCAAGCCUCUUCACCUAUGGACAAAACCAAGACAGUGUGUUCCCUCUAUGCAAG